CAGUCAUGUGCCCUGACCAGCAAUUGAACCCUGACCUCCUGCUUCACAGGUCCAUGCCCAACCACUGAGCAACACCAGCCAGGCUCUUUCUUUUAAAGAAAGGCAGUGGCUUAACCCAAAGCCCCCGUUCCUGCAUGGUGACCCCUGUUCUGGGGGUUAACGUCAAGGGACUCGGCCAUCAGGCCCCCGCCCCUGCCCCAACACAUAGGCUGCACUGCAUUCCCUUGCUUUCCACCCUGUUUGUGAGGCCUCUUCCCCCUCCUCCUCCUCCUCCUCCUCCUCCUCCUCCUCCUCCUCCUCCUCCUUCUCCUUCACCUGGCUUCUGUCUUCUCAAUGUUUUGAACUUUGGCCAACAUCACGUCCUCAGAGAUGCUCUUCUGGAUCCUGUGACUCAGCUGUUUCUCCCGGGCUUCCCAGCGCUGUGCUCGGAAAAAGCGUUGCCGUUGGCCAGCGGUGGUUGCCGCCCAGCCUGUCCCCCCAGGGCGGGAGCCAGGCAGGGGCCAUAUCUGCUUGGACUUACCGUCCCAAGUCUAAGGGAUGAGUGGCAAACGGAUGAGUGGACACAUGCUUACUGAGCACCUCCUAUGUACCGACCAGUCACCGUCCGAGGCUCUAGGGACACCCAGAUCUUGUCUCUUGGAAGAUUAUCUGCCAGAGCAGCUGAUUUUCAACCCUUUUCAUCUCGUGGCACAGGAGUGAGUUUCUAAAAUUCUGCGGCACUCCAAAAAUAUAUUACGUUUUUGCCGAUCUGGCAACAACAAUAGGCACAACUUUGAUUCAUUCACACCGGACGGCUAUGACUGUGUUGGCUGUUGUCAUUUUUAAUUUCAUUUUAUUUAUUUAUUUUUUUGUUAUUUUUUAAUUUGACAAUCCAAGGGGGAAAGAGGUCAGUGCCCCUGGCUAAAUGGUCAGGUAUCACAUGUUUUAAAACUUCUUGUGGGACACCGGGAGAAAGAUACGCACUAGUUUAAUAAUCACACAUGUUACUAUGCAAUCUUUUUUUUUAUUUUUUCAAUACAUAUAUCUUUAUUGAUUUCAGAGAGGAAGGGAGAAGAGAGAAACAUCAAUGAUGAGAGAGAAUCAUGGAUCGGCUGCCUCCUGCUCGCCCCACACUGGGGAUGCGGCCCGAAACCCGGACAUGUGCCCUGACCGGGAAUAGACCUGUGACCUCCUGGUUCCUGGGUCAAAGCUUAACCACUAAGCCACACCUCCAGGCUUGCUGUGCAAUCUUGAACUGACGCAGGCUUUGAAGAAGAGGAUGUUAGGAGGCGGUGGUGGAGCCCAGCGGCUGGGUGAGCGGCACUGUGACCUGGUAGCGUGGGGACACGCAGCCCCAGGGGUAAGCCCGGGACUGACAUCGCACCUCCGCAGACCCAGCCUGGCCACGCCAGCCGGUGACUAACAGGGUGUAAUAAGGGAAGCUCGCCUCCUAGGCAUGUCUUGGGCAAGAGCAAGAUGAAAUGGAUCCCCAGGCCGCUUGGCAGGGGCCAAAGAAGUCUAUGGGGUAAACGGUGGGGGAAUCGUCAGGGGGCGGGUACGUGAGUGCCACCAGGUCUAGGCAAUUCCUUCACGUGCCUGACCUGGUCAGGACAGCGACCCGUUCCAGGAAGUAGCACCCCGCUCGUCCAGGAGGCCCCGGAAGGUGCUGAUUCAUGUCUGAGUGAAUGUCAGGCACGAUCAGGACGCCUGAGAGCAGGGCUUCCAGAAAGCAACCUCUGCCCCAUGGGGCCAGCUCCUGGGCCAGGGGGCGGCUGAGUCAUGGAACAGCCUCUCCCUCCAAGGCCGGGCGCCUGGGUGUCAUGCUGGGUGUGCUUCAGGCAGGACACAGGUGACAGUACCUGGUGGUUUUUCUUGGGGAGCCAAGCCUCCCUCGUACUCAUCCUGACCUUGCCUGCAUCUAGCCAAACUGGGUAGCCAUCUCCUAGGACUCCUCAGUCUAGGCAUGAAUUUGGACUCAAGUCAAGUCUGGGAGCCUCAAAGAAAGACUCCCAAGACUAUGAAGAAAGACGUGGAUCUCGUUCAGCACUUAGGACUUUGUGCUCAAGAGAGAAGGGAAGAGAUGGAUGGACACAGAUCGAUGCCUCAUGAUUUCCCUCCAGCACCUGGAUCCAGCCAUGCCUGAAGCCCAUAGGGGUAUAAUUGUGCCUAAAUGUACAUACUACCUAUGGCCCUUAAAGCUAUUGACUGAACAAUUCUCCCAUCUUUCUAUUUGGCUUAAGCUCAUUGUCACAGGGCUUUGGUUACUUACAACUAAAAGUGCCUUUAUUAAGACAA